CCCAGACAGCCAGGAUGUUGGCUUAGAAGCAGCCAUCAUUUAAAGAAAGCGUAAUAGCUCACUGGUCGAGUCGGCCUGCGCGGAAGAUGUAACGGGGCUAAACCAUGCACCGAAGCUGCGGCAGCGACACUAUGUGUUGUUGGGUAGGGGAGCGUUCUGUAAGCCUGUGAAGGUGUGCUGUGAGGGUUGCUGGAGGUAUCAGAAGUGCGAAUGCUGACAUAAGUAACGAUAAAGCGGGUGAAAAGCCCGCUCGCCGGAAGACCAAGGGUUCCUGUCCAACGUUAAUCGGGGCAGGGUGAGUCGACCCCUAAGGC
rnacentral:rRNA from 1 species